CGCGUAGGCGGCUUUGCAAGUCAGAUGUGAAAGCCCCGGGCUUAACUCGGGAAUUGCAUCUGAAACUGCUUAGCUUGAGUCCUGGAGGGGGUAGUGGAAUUCCCAGUGUAGCGGUGAAAUGCGUAGAUAUUGGGAGGAACACCUGCGGCGAAGGCGGCUACCUGGACAGUGACUGACGCUGAUGCGCGAAAGCUAGGGGAGCAAACGGGAUUAGAUACCCCGGUAGUCCUAGCCGUAAACGAUGGGCACUUGGUGUCGGGGGUAUUGAGUCCCCCGGUGCCGGAGUUAACACGUUAAGUGCCCCGCCUGGGGAGUACGGUCGCAAGACUGAA
rnacentral:rRNA from 1 species